ACAUGUAUCCCACCGUUUCAAUCGUCUAUUCAUAUUUUGAACACCUAUAUCCCACCAUAUGGCUUUCCCACCACUUUCACUUCCUUCCUCAAGAAAGCCUUUUCUCUCCCAUUUUUUUUAUACCUCACAGGUAAUCCGACUAGAUUGUAUAGCUCAUGAGACAUCCCCUUCUAUCUGAAUCUUUUUUCUCUUUGAAACGAUGUUGGUUUAUGUUUUUUGAGUAUGUCACUUCUCCGGCGAUUUUAGUAAGCCCCCUCUGUAACUCGAACUGCCCUCUGUUGCUUGCUUAUCACAUAACACAAUCACAAAUUAAUCAAUCAACCAUGGUGCUAUUGCUACCUGGCUCAUUACCGUUUCUCCUCUUCACUCUAUCUAUCUCCACACUAACCCUAAAGAGCCCCUGGUCAUCUCUCUCGGCCACCACCUCACCACAACCAUCACCACCGGCUGUUGUCUCUCCUACGAUACUGGCAUCAUAAUACUUCGAUUUCUUUAGUUCUUCAACUAUGAUCUUUGUUUGAUAUUGAAUUGGUAUUUCAUUGCAACAUGAAAUUGUGGACAAUUUUGCUUCUAAUGGGAAAAAACAAGAAACAAAGACCGAUUUCCAAAUGCUCUUCAGUUUCGAUUUUAGGGCUUUUGGUUCUUGGCUAUUGAGUAAAGGAAUGCUCCAAAGUACAUGGACAAGAUUUGAAAAAUGAAGAUGCGGAUGUUCUGCUUGCCACUUUUGGAUCCUCUUUUACCACCACCUUUCCUUAAUUGGCUGAGUCACCCUCUUGACUUCCCCGUCACGCAGACUCCAUCUUUCUUCUGUAUUUAAGAGUACGCAAAAGAUGGAUAUCCAGUAAUAAGAUUACAAGCAGAUGGAAUAUGUCAUCUAUAAAUUGAUUGCGUUCUUGAUUUUCAUGAAAUAUGUAAUGAUGGAGAUGGACUUCUACCUUCCAUUUUGAUGCUAUGCAAAUUGAUAUCUUUGUGACAACACACCAAGGAUUGCAUUUCGUUUUCCUUAAUCUUGGGUAAAGCUUAGUCAGUAAGUAGUGGUGAAAAGAGAAUUGAUGGUGGCAUGAGGGUUGUCUGACGUGUGGGGGUGUAUGUGUAAUUGAAGGGGAGAUGAAACGACAUGAUGGAUGGUGCUACACCUAAAACACACCAAAGAUGAGGUGGUCAUUUGUAUCGUAAUCUCUCAGCUCCUUGACACUUGCUUUAUAUUGUAUAUCCUUGUAUUUCCACCUUAUACAAAUUUGUCUAUAUAUAAACCAUCUUGGAAAUUAUCCUAAAUGAAAAGAAGUGGCAAUGCAUUUUCAUU